rnacentral:lncRNA from 10 species
CUCCGGGGCGGGGCGCGGCGCCAGCCUAGCCCGAGGAUGGAGGCUGAGGCCGCCUGUUGAGUCACAGUUUCCCUGUGAUGCUCAUUUUAACCAGAUGGCACUUGCUUAGCAGUUUGGAGGAGAAGACCUGUUCCCCUGCAGGUAUGGGCCUUUGGGAUCAUUACCCUCUCCAGAUCUGGCAGCUCCAUCAGGUGGUGGCUCUUUCUCCAAACGUCCUUGACAGCUUUAGUGCUCCUCCUUCUACUGUGCCCUCUGGUGAGCAGGGGUUUUCUGCAUCUGUGGUGACCAUAUUUCUGAACCCAGAUGAAUCAUGGGUAUGAGAAUUCUUGGGGUGUUCAAGGGAACAAAUAUUUAUUUAUUUAUUUAUUGAGAUAGGGUUGUACUCGGUCUGAACUCACCCAGGAGUUCAGUGGCAUGAUCGUGGCUCACUGCAGCCUCAACCCCUGGGCUCCAGCUAUCCUCCCACCUCAGCCUCCCUAGUAGCUGGGACUAAAGGUACAUACCACUAUACCCAGCUAAAUUUUUGUACUUUUUUUUUUUUAAGAGAUGGGGUUUCACCAUGUUGCCCAGGCUGGUCUCAAACACCAGGUCACAAACGAUCUUGUGACCUUGGUGCCUGCCUUGGCCUCCCAGAGUGCUGGGACUGCAGUGGGAGCGGAUCUUUGAAAUUGUGGCUGCCCUGAGAAGCCAGGGGCACAUGGCAGUUGUACCUCUGCUGGGGCAUCCUGGGAGCUUUCCAGCAAUGGGACUUCCCUUUUGGAUAUGGUCAGACUAGUUGCAUGCCUUUUUAUUUUGCUUGUUACCUAGGUUUCUCCCUCAUGAAAUUCACUUAUUUCAGUUACCAAAAAGUACUUUGUAGAUAAUGAUGGGGGCUUCUUACAUUGAUGGCCCAGAAAGGCUGGAAGAUGUAGGUUAACCAGACGGCCCAGGCACAAAAGCCAUAUCCACACAUUCUAAACAGGGAGAGUGCUGAGAGCCCACCCUUUGCUUUGUUUCUGGGAAAAAAUAUUGCCUCCUUCCCCUAAGAAACUGAUCUGAUUUUUCAGUGUGACCGUCAAUGUUCAUCUACCCUAAGGAUACUCAACUCUAUUUCAUGUUGUUGUGCAAAUAAAGCCUAAGGGUUGGUGAGAGGUUCUGGCUUCCCCUAAAAUACUCACUCACUGGUUGUGAACUCUUUUGUGAGAGGUGGAUUCUGAAAGUGAAUGUGUGGCUCUUGAAUACGGGGAUCAACACCAGCUGUGUUGGCAGCAGAACUUGCAGGGUUUUAGGGAAAGAGAUCUGGGGCAACAAAGGGAGGGUAGCUGGGCAGAGUGGGGGUGAGUGGGGUGGAGCUGGAAUGGGGAAGGCCAAGGUAAAGAUGGACCAAGAGCUGAGACUAGCUGAGGAGCCCUGGUCUGCAUGGCUGGGGCAAGGCUGGCUCAAUCUCAGCUCACUGCAACUUCCAUCUCCUGGGUUCAAGCAAUUCUCCUGCCUCAUCCUCCUGAGUAGCUGGGACUACAGGUGCCUGCCCCCAUGCCCCGCUAAUUUUCGUAUUUUUAGUAGAGACAGGUUUUCACCUCAUUGGCCAGGAUGGCCUUGAUCACUUGGCAUUAAGUGAUCCACCCACCUCGGCCUCCCAAAGUGUUAGGAUUACAGGCAUGAGCCACCAUGCCCAGCCCCUUGAACACAGGUCUUUAAAUGGUUUAUUUAACAAAUUCUUACAAGAGUCUACAAUGGGCUUGACUUACGUGGAGGAAAGAUGCCUAUUGUGGAGGAACCCUUACAGUGGACUUUUUUUUUUUUUUUGAGUCAGGGUCUCACUCUGUCACCCAGGGUGGAGUGCACUGGUGUGAUCAUGACUCACUGCAGCCUCGACCUCCUGGCUCAGGUGAUCCUCCCACCUCAGCCUCCCAAGUAGCUGAGACCACAGGUGCACACCACCACGCCCAGCUAGUUUUUUUAUUUUUUGUAGAAAUGGGGUUUCUCCAUGUUGCCUGGUCUGGUCUUGAACUCCUGGGCUCAAACGAUCUGUCCAUCUUGGCUUCCCAAAACCUGAAGCCAGGCCAGGUAUGUUAAUUUCCUCGGGCCCCCAUGUCAAAAUACCACAAACUGGGUGGCUUAAAUGUUGAUCAUUUUAUUGUCUCACCUUUCUUGAGUCAGAAGUCUGAGAUUAAUGUGUCAGUAGGGUUGGUUCCAGGCAUUUGGAGGUGGGGCACUCAUAUUUCCUUCUGAGGGCUGUGCAGGAGAAUCUGUUCCAUGCCCCUCUCCUAACUGCUGUUUUGUUUUGUUUUGUUUUGUUUUGUUUCUCUUUCCUCCAUCUUGUGGAUGCAAAAAUAUAAACUGACCCAAGAGAUUCAUUAUUUAGAAAGUGAUGCCUUAUACCCAGGAUUUAAUCAGUGGCUCUUCAGGUUGCCAUGUAGAAAGCAGCUUUGCUGGCUGCCACUUUCGAUCAAGGGCUAAACUCUGAGGGUGACAUGCCACUAAGGAGCUGAACGGAGCCUGAGUCCUUGUAGCAGAGGCUGGUCUCCAGUCCUGUCUGUUCUUCUUCUUGGGCACACAGCUAGGCUACAUUCCCUAGCCUUCCUUGGAGCUUAGAAUAAUUCCUAGCCAAUAGCAUUUGAGUAUAAUUGAGUGGGCCACCUCCAGAUGUGGCCCAUUACAAGUCACAUUCUCUGCCUCCAACCCAGGUUACUUCAGGUAAUAAUCCUUCUGCCUAGAAAGGUUGGGCACCCUGAUAUGCACAAAUCUGCAUUAACUUCACAGAUGACUCAAUUAGCAGGUGAUGACUUACUGGCAGUGUUCAUUACGGUGGCCUUUCUAGUUGUCAUCUUCCCAGAUGACAUUUUUAGAAUUUCAUCUCUACACUUUCCAAAAACACUACUUGACACCUGUGGGUUUUAAAAUGAAAUAACCUCAGAUAUGAAAUAACCUUUCCCCAAUCCAUUCAUUGUAGUUGGAAGCUGGUCUUACUAAUGGCAGGGUGACCGUAACACUUGGUUAUGAACCAGGGUAUUGCCUCCAACCAAGCCUUAACAAUCUCAUCCUCCCUUUAGCCUUCCAUGAUUAGACCUCAACUCAUGAGAACUCUUGCCUUGCUCACAAGUGGGAGUAAAUGCUCAUAGCUCUAGAAAUCUCCCAGGAACCAGACAUCACGGAAACUAGAAAGGCUAAGGGAGUCCAAUCUUCCUCUAAAUUGGCCAACAGUAGAGUGGUGGAAAGAGAACAAGCUGCAAACCAGACAGACCCAAGCUUGAAUCUCACCUCUGCCAAGCUACCAGGGACCUACCCCGAACUUUCAUGAACCCCUGGUAGCUGAAUAGCAGCUUGUCUAAGCGAGGUGCAGGGAUUUUGUCAAAGUCGGCCUCGGUGUUAAAGGCAGGGCCACCUACCAUGAACUUCUCUCUGUGACUUUAUUCUUUAGCAGUGCUCAAGUGUAAAUAAACUUGUUUACCAGGAUCAGAAUGGCCAUGUUAAUGAAGUCUUAUUUGUGUCACCACAAUGACAAGUAAUUUGUGCACAGCUGGACUCGGAGAGGGGACAAAACCAGAGAAAUUGUAUUUCUGUUCUGAAGUUUCCAUACAGAUGCCUUAGGCCAAAGUUAGUACAGCCAAUAUUUGCCUGUUUCUUUGGAUUGUGUGUCCAUGCUGGAGAAAAGCCUUGUUACUGUGCCCAGUGUGGUAAACGAAAUUAUAUGUACGCAGUGAGAAGAAAAAUGAAAUAAGAAGCACUGAUGAAUGUACCCACGGGUGUGACCUUGGGGGCCAGUGUGUGGUUUUUAUGAAAUGAACGCAUGAAUACGAGGACCCUAAUUAUUGCUUUCAACGGACAAAGUAUGGUGAAUAUAUAGAGAACGUUGCUGUACAACACUGGCUGUGUCUCAAAGCGGCUUUAGAAGUAAAUAUAGAAAUUCUUUGGUACAUGGUAUUGCAUAGAAAAGUCAUUAAGAAAAAAGCAAGACAAUUUGUUAAGACCUUGUUAAGUGGAGCUGGGGGAUGAUUAAUUUUGUUUGUUUGUUUUUGUUGUUCCCUGGUAGAGCUCAACAAACUACAGACCACGGGCCAAAUCUGACCCACCGCUGCUUUUGUAAAUAAAACUUUAUUGGAAAAAAGCCACAUUUGUGUAUGUGUUGUCUGUGGCUGCUUUUGUGCUACCGAGACAGAGGCAAGAAAGGAGAGAAAAAGAGGCAUGGAGCAGGUAUAUUACGGGUUGAAUUGAGUUCACCAAAAAGAUAUGUUGAAAUCCAAAGCCCCAGUGUCUGUGAAAGUUACCUUAUUUGGAAAUAAGGUCUUUGCCAAUGUAAAGAUAAAGUCAUGCUGAAUUAAGGUGAGCCCUAACCUAAUAUGGCUGGUGUCCUUAUAAGAAGAGAAGAGACAGACAAAGGGAAGGAGUCCAUGUGACCACAGGGCCAGUGGAAGUGAUGCAACUGCCUGCCAAGUGCACCAAGGAUGGGUGGCCACCAGCAGAAGCUCGGAAGAUGCAAGGAAGGAUUCUAUCCAGAGUUACAGAGGGAGCAUGGCCCAGCUGACACCUUGAUUUCAAACCUGUAGCCUCAAGAAAUGUGGAUAAUGACCUUCUGUCAUUUUAAGCCACCCCGUCUGCAACACUUUCUUAUGGCAAUGUGAUGGGUAAGCUUAUGUGUCAAUGUGACUGAGCCCCAGGAUGCUUAGAUACUUGAUGAAACA